rnacentral:rRNA from 1 species
AUACGUAUGUCGCAAGCGUUAUCCGGAUUUAUUGGGCGUAAAGCGCGUCUAGGCGGCUUAGUAAGUCUGAUGCGAAAAUGCGGGGCUCAACCCCGUAUUGCGUUGGAAACUGCUAAACUAGAGUACUGGAGAGGUAGGCGGAACUACAAGUGUAGAGGUGAAAUUCGUAGAUAUUUGUAGGAAUGCCGAUGGGGAAGCCAGCCUACUGGACAGAUACUGACGCUAAAGCGCGAAAGCGUGGGUAGCAAACAGGAUGAGAUACCCUGGUAGUCCACGCCGUGAACGAUGAUUACUAGGUGUUGGGGGUCGAACCUCAGCGCCCAAGCUAACGCGAUAAGUAAUCCGCCUGGGGAGUACGUACGCAAGUAUGAAACUCAAAGGAAUUGACGGGG